rnacentral:rRNA from 1 species
AUUGAACGCUGGCGGCAGGCUUAACACAUGCAAGUCGAGCGGGGGAAGGUAGCUUGCUACCGGACCUAGCGGCGGACGGGUGAGUAAUGCUUAGGAAUCUGCCUAUUAGUGGGGGACAACAUCUCGAAAGGGAUGCUAAUACCGCAUACGUCCUACGGGAGAAAGCAGGGGAUCUUCGGACCUUGCGCUAAUAGAUGAGCCUAAGUCGGUUUAGCUAGUUGGUGGGGUAAAGGCCUACCAAGGCGACGAUCUGUAGCGGGUCUGAGAGGAUGAUCCGCCACACUGGAACUGAGACACGGCCCAAACUCCUACGGGAGGCAGCAGUGGGGAAUAUUGGACAAUGGGGGGAACCCUGAUCCAACCAUGCCGCGUGUGUGAAGAAGGCCUUAUGGUUGUAAAGCACUUUAAGCGAGGAGGAGGCUACUUAGUUAAUACCUAGAGAUAGUGGACGUUACUCGCAGAAUAAGCACCGGCUAACUCUGUGCCAGCAGCCGCCGCCG